rnacentral:rRNA from 1 species
UGGGGAAUAUUGGACAAUGGGGGCAACCCUGAUCCAGCGAUGCCGCGUGAGUGAAGAAGGCCUUCGGGUCGUAAAGCUCUUUAGGUUGGGAAGAAGAAUAGCUGAGGAAAUGCGGUUAUUUUGACGGUACCGACAGAAUAAGCACCGGCAAACUCUGUGCCAGCAGCCGCGGUAAUACAGAGGGUGCGAGCGUUAAUCGGAAUUACUGGGCGUAAAGGGCGCGUAGGCGGUGAUAUGUGUGUGAUGUGAAAGCCCCGGGCUUAACCUGGGAAGGGCAUCGCAAACUGUAUGACUGGAGUAUAUGAGAGGGUGGCGGAAUUUCCGGUGUAGCGGUGAAAUGCGUAGAGAUCGGAAGGAACGUCGAUGGCGAAGGCAGCCACCUGGCAUAAUACUGACGCUGAGGCGCGAAAGCGUGGGUAGCGAACAG